rnacentral:misc_RNA from 1 species
UCCGGUUUAACACCGGCGGUCUCCCUGGAGUGCCCAACUAAAUGGUGGCAACAAGGGACAAGGGUUGCGCUCGUUAAGGGACUUAACCCGACAUCUCACGAUACGAGCUGACGACAGCCAUGCAGCACCUGUCUCACUGCCCCCGAAGGGGAAACCCUAUCUCUAGGGCGGUCAGUGGAUGUCAAACCCAGGUAAGGUUCUUCGCGUUGCAUCGAAUUAAACCACAUGCUCCACCGCUUGUGCGGGCCCCCGUCAAUUCCUUUGAGUUUUAAUCUUGCGACCGUACUCCCCAGGCGGGGCACUUAAUGCGUUAGCUGCGGCACCCAGGGGGUCAAUACCCCGGACACCUAGUGCCCAUCGUUUACAGCGUGGACUAC